GACGAACGCUGGCGGCGUGCUUAACACAUGCAAGUCGAGCGAGUGGAUUCCCUUCGGGGAUGAAGCUAGCGGCGGACGGGUGAGUAACACGUGGGCAACCUGCCUCAUAGAGGGGGAUAGCCUUCCGAAAGGAAGAUUAAUACCGCAUAACAUCAGAUUAUCGCAUGGUAGACUGAUCAAAGGAGCAAUCCACUAUAAGAUGGGCCCGCGUCGCAUGCGCUAGUUGGUGAGGUAACGGCUCACCAAGGCGACGAUGCGUAGCCGACCUGAGAUGGUGAUCGGCCACAUUGGGACUGAGACACGGCCCAGACACCUGCGGGAGGCAGCAGUGGGGAAUAUUGCACAAUGGGGGAAACCCUGUUGCAGCAACGCCGCGUGAGUGAUGAAGGCCUUCGGGUUGUAAAGCUCUUUGAUCAGGGACGAUAAUGACGGUACCUGAAGAACAAGCCACGGCUAACUACGUGCCAGCCGCCGCAGUAAAAC
rnacentral:rRNA from 1 species